rnacentral:rRNA from 1 species
AUUGAACGCUGGCGGCAGGCUUAACACAUGCAAGUCGAGCGGUAACAGAGAGAAGCUUGCUUCUCUGCUGACGAGCGGCGGACGGGUGAGUAAUGCCUAGGAAUCUGCCUAGUAGUGGGGGAUAACUUGCCGAAAGGUAAGCUAAUACCGCAUACGUCCUACGGGAGAAAGGAGGGGACCUUCGGGCCUUUCGCUAUUAGAUGAGCCUAGGUCGGAUUAGUUAGUUGGUGAGGUAAUGGCUCACCAAGACCGCUAUCCGUAACUGGUCUGAGAGGAUGAUCAGUCACACUGGAACUGAGACACGGUCCAGACUCCUACGGGAGGCAGCAGUGGGGAAUAUUGGACAAUGGGGGGGAACCCUGAUCCAGCCAUGCCGCGUGUGUGAAGAAGGUCUUAGGAUUGUAAAGCACUUUAAGUUGGGAGGAAGAGCAGUUAACUAAUAUUUGACUGUUUUGACGUUACCGACAGAAUAAGCACCGGCUAACUUCGUG